rnacentral:sRNA from 1 species
UACUGGCUACGUUGCCUCGUUGGACAG